UUCAGGUGUAGCCGCUGCUUGAGGACCAGGACCUGCUGCUGCUGAUGACUAUAAUUUGCAGGUGCAGGCGCUAGCAGAGGACGAGAUGGACCAGAUGAUUGCCAAGAUGCUGCACGAGGACUCGCAGGCGGUGCUGCUGCUGGCUGACAUGGAUUAACAGAUGGACGAGCUGCAGACGGACUAGCUUGACGAGAUGCUGGACGACGUAGAUGAGACGAUGCAUACGACGCUGUACAAGGAGCUGCUGUUUGCUGUAGUGUAUUUUCAGGUACUGGUGCAUUAGACGAGCGGAAAUCUGGACAGGUCGACUGGCAAGGUGGUGCAGACGGUUGCUGGUGGACUUCAGGUAAGUUUUUGUUAGCGUUAGAUUGCAUAUUCAUUGUCUCAUGCCCAAAUUUUCUUUCCUUUUCAUGAUUCAUUUGCCUUUCUUGCCGCUCUGGGCGCUGGUCAACGACAAAUUUUGCCAGUUCAGCCUUAUAAAAGGCACAGCUCCUAUAGGUGGCUCUAUGGCCAUCUCCGCAGAUGCCACACUUUGGAGAUUGGCCAUCAGGAGAGGGGCAUUUGUCGGAUUUGUGCUGGCCAGCACAGACGGAGCAGAGCGGGGGAAGGCAGCAGUACCUGGCUGUAUGGCCAAAGAGGAGCAGUUUUUGCAUUGGGGAAUCUCCCUUUGCCUCUCGACGCGUACCUCCUGGCUGCCUAGGACCUUAAUUUUAAGUAUUUUAAGCUUCGCAUUCAAGAUGGCAAAUCUAGCACCUCGUUCCCAUCUGGGCUGGUUAUCAGUUCGAAUCAUAUCGAUUCAUGGCGUCAUUGCAGUUGGCAAAAUCAUUGAGGCAGCGCUCUUAUUGUCAGGAAAAUUCCCUCUUAUAGGCAAGAAGUGAGUAACAUGUGUUGUUUUUUUUUUGUCAUAGGCAAACAAAACAAAAAUACUUGAAUCCUUGCUUGCCAAGAGGGUCCUUAAAUGUAACCGUCUUUCACAAUCCAUACAAAUGCAAAUU